rnacentral:rRNA from 1 species
AGCGAACGCUGGCGGCAGGCCUAACACAUGCAAGUCGAACGAAGUCUUCGGACUUAGUGGCGGACGGGUGAGUAACACGUGGGAACGUACCUUUUGGUUCGGAACAACUCAGGGAAACUUGAGCUAAUACCGGAUGAGCCCUUAGGGGGAAAGAUUUAUCGCCGAAAGAGCGGCCCGCGUUAGAUUAGCUAGUUGGUGAGGUAAAGGCUCACCAAGGCUACGAUCUAUAGCUGGUCUGAGAGGAUGAUCGGCCACACUGGGACUGAGACACGGCCCAGACUCCUACUGGAGGCAGCAGUGGGGAAUCUUGCGCAAUGGGCGAAAGCCUGACGCAGCCAUGCCGCGUGAAUGAUGAAGGUCUUAGGAUUGUAAAAUUCUUUUACCAGGGACGAUAAUGACGGUACCUGGAGAAAAAGCCCCGGCUAACUUCGUGCCAGCCGCCGCCGUAAGAC